UUGGUGGACUCCAAGGGGAGUAGCUGUGGCCACGACAGCCCACAGCACCCUGGCAAAAUCUAGAAAGGCCAUCAUCCCCAUUCUGCAGAUGGAAAACCACAGAGUGAUUCUGAAGAGAGCGAGAGGCUGCGUAGGGCAAGGUGAUUAGAUUGGAACUGAAUUAAUUUAUCCUAAUCAAAAGGAUUCUUCUCAAGGCCUCAUCAGUGACAGAUAAGAAGGGCACUGAACAGAAAGAGACAAGGGGGAUACUAAUGCUAGAUCACAUGAUAAGAAUGAACCAGGAAGACCGAAACAGACCGGCACAUAAUAUCUGCUGCUCCAGCCUCAAGCAGUGAGUCAGGGCAGAGGCAAACCUAGACUCUGCUGUCAGUAGAAAGACUAUGUCAAUAGAAACCAUAGCACAUAUUCUGCAUUCUCUACAGAACAUUUGACUUUUUUUUUUUUUUUCUACUCAGUAAAUAGCAUGCUGCUAGGGUAGCAAUCCUUCUGCUAUUUCCUGCAGCUAGUGAAAAGGAGACUCAAUAACCUGGAAGCUCUUCUG